GAUGAAGAACGUAGCGAAACGCGAUAAGUAAUGUGAAUUGCAGAAUCCAGUGAAUCAUCGAAUCUUUGAACGCACAUUGCGCCCGCCAGCAUUCUGGCGGGCAUGCCUGUUCGAGCGUCAUUUCAACCCUCGACCUCCCCUUUGGGAGGUCGGCGUUGGGGACCGGCAGCACACCGCCGGCCCUGAAAUGGAGUGGCGGCCCGUCCGCGGCGACCUCUGCGCAGUAAUACAGCUCGCACCGGGACCCCGACGCGGCCACGCCGUAAAACACCCAACUUCUGAACGUUGACCUCGAAUCAGGUAGGACUACCCGCUGAACUUAAGCAUAUCAAUAAGCGGAGGA
rnacentral:misc_RNA from 1 species